rnacentral:rRNA from 1 species
CGAAAGCCUGACGGAGCAACGCCGCGUGAGGGAUGAAGGCCUCUGGGCUGUAAACCUCUUUUCUCAAGGAAGAAGAUCUGACGGUACUUGAGGAAUAAGCCACGGCUAAUUCCGUGCCAGCAGCCGCGGUAAUACGGGAGUGGCAAGCGUUAUCCGGAAUUAUUGGGCGUAAAGCGUCCGCAGGCGGCCUCGUAAGUCUGUCGUUAAAGCGUGGAGCUUAACUCCAUUUCAGCGAUGGAAACUGUGAGGCUUGAGUGUGGUAGGGGCAGAGGGAAUUCCCGGUGUAGCGGUGAAAUGCGUAGAUAUCGGGAAGAACACCAGUGGCGAAGGCGCUCUGCUGGGCCAUAACUGACGCUCAUGGACGAAAGCCAGGGGAGCG